CGAGCGUAUCUAGAUGGCACGUUUUUCGCUCCAGAUCUGGAUAAGUUGUCGUUUGAUGGAACGGUCUGGGGCAUUUGCCAAAUUUGCAAAAAAGAAAACAAUAAAGAUCAUAGCAUCAGCGGUACCUUGAAAUCUUCAUCAAAUUACGUGAGACACUUAAAGAAUGUACACAAAAGAGCAUUCCAAGAAUAUGAGGAUUAUGCCAAACAGAAAAACAAAAAACUGAAAACAGAUAACGAUGAAGAUAAGUAUAAAACUUUUUGUUCAUUUUCUCAAGCCCGCUUCGACAAUAACGUUGUGAACUAUCUUUUAGAAAGUAUGUCACCACUGAAUACAGUCGAGUCACCAGCAUUCAGGAAAAUAUUUGAUGAUAUGAAGAUUAAGCACCAUGGAAAGGAGCUUCAGCAUUUGUCUGCUCGUACCGUUGGCCGACGGAUAGAACAAACAUUUUUGAAAACCGUUGCCGAUAUUUCCGCUGAAUUGGCAAACGUCUCAUUUGUCUGUACGACUGCUGACACUUGGUCAUCUCGUCAUCGACGAUUCGUUGGCAUGACUGUUCAUUGGAUUGACGAGCUGACUAUGGAACGUAAAUCGUACGCAAUAGCAUGUAGGCGGCUCAAAGGUGAUCAUUCGUACGAUAGAAUAGCAGAAAGCAUCAAAGAUAUUCAUGCGUCGUAUGGAUUAUCCGAAACCCAAGUAUUUGCAACUGUAACCGAUAACGGUUCAAAUUUUGUAAAAGCUUUUCGCGAAUUCGGGCUCCAAUCUGGCGAUUAUUUUUUCGAAGGUGAAACCGUAGAUAAUGAUAAGAAUGCAAGCAAUGCAAUCGUUGAAAGUGAAUCCGAAGAUGAUUCAGACCAUGCGGAAAUGGAGUUGUUUGAUGAUUGCAAUGAUUCGAUUCCCGUGCUUCCUCAGCAUUUUCGUUGUGCCAGCCACACGCUUAAUGUCAUUGCGACGACUGACAUGCUUGCUGGUAUCAAGAUGAGCAAAACUUUGAAACAAUCAUUUGAUGAGAUGAUCGCUAGAUGUAGUAGUUUGUGGAAUUUGCAAAAAUCUCCAAAAAAAACCGAAAAACUAUGCUCCGCGAUUGGUCAACCCUUGAAAAGGCCUGUAGUGACCCGCUGGAAUUCACUGUACGACGCUCUCAAACAAAUCCAGAGUUUGAAAGAGGCUAUUUUGCAACACAGCAAUGAAUUGGACAUCACAAAUCCACUGAGGGACACUGAUUUCAGAUUCAUGGAAGAGUACAUUAGCUGUAACAAGCCUGUGGCCGAAGGUCUUGAUAUAUUGGUAUGGAAAAGAGCAAUCUUCAAUGGUGCAACCCUUUAGUUGGUACACUACUUAGAGGUUUGAACCGUCGUUUCCAAAAACAAUUCGAUGUGGAAGAAGAAGGACGUGUCAGUGCAGUAGCUGCUGCGACACAUCCUCUCUUCAAACUGAAAUGGCUGAAGUGCUUGAACGCUGAUGCGCAAGGAUAACGAUUUCUUCGACUUUUCAUGUGCCACUGAAUCCGGUAAUAAUGACACCAUCCAUGUUUUCGGGGCUGAGGCCGGAGAAGCAGUAUUUCAACGAUUUGCCUUCGAGAAAAAAACUGAUUUGCAACUUUUGAAUACAUAUCCGUCUGUAAAAAAGAGGUUCCUCAAGUUCAAUACGCCUCUUCCAUCAUCAGCUGCUGUUGAAAGAUUAUUCAGCUAUGCAACGAUGUUCAAUUUACCGAAAUAU
rnacentral:misc_RNA from 1 species